ACCUAAAAACCUGAGAAACCUCAGGAACCUGAAGCUCGAGCAGAUAGUAGUGGUCCUCGCCUUCGCUUUCCGAUUGAGCAAUCGAUGUUUGCUCCGAGGAGCCUCCGCAGACACUGCCCUAAACUGUCUCUUCUCUCGCCAAUUCGAUCCCUCCAAGCCAAGAGGAAAUUGGCAUUGCUACUACGGAAACUCAAAACAUCUGCCUGCCUCUCUACAUGAUCCGGGGCUAUGGACCCUAGAGCAUCUUCAUUUAAGAAGUUUGGCUUCAGAAACAAACAUUAUGUUGGUGUUUGUGGGUGUCUUUUGUGGAGUUGUCCAGAAUAUGUGGAUGCUGUGGAAGUUUCGCAGACUCUACAAGUUUGUUGUGAUAACUUCCUGGAGAACAGAAUCAAGAAAAUGGCAACUAAGCUAGCAAGGCUGAGCGGUGGAAGUUUCGCAGACCAUACAAGUUUGUUAUUAUAACUAACCUAAAGAAAAGAAUCAAGAAAAUGGCAACUAUGCUCGCAAGGCUGAGUGGUGGUAUUGUGAUAAUAUUAUCAAAGCCAUAAUCAUGUUUCGCGGAAAUAAUUCAAUAUCUUGCAGUACCAUUACAAAAAGGAAGUUUCAAAUAAAGUUCUGUUAUGAUACCUCAGUGAAGUGCCACUGAAGGACCUGAUGGAAGCAACGUGGAUAUUAAUGUCUGCAUCUUUAUGUGCAGGCAUUAUUCAGGCUCUUGAAUCUCAUAAGCUAAAUAUAAAGAAUAUAACAGGAGCCGUGCACAAGUGGUGCUAACCUUGAGGAUCCAGUUGCCAUGGCUAGUAUUUAGAGAGUCACCUCCUCAUUCUUCAAUGAAAUUAGGACGGGAGUCCUUACGGGGGCGCUAUCAGUAAAAGAGCCUGAUAAUACAUUGAGACAUUCAGAACCCCCUGAGCAGUAGGUGUUAGACAAGUUCAUUGCUGUGAUUGAGGAUACAGCAGAGGAAGAGGAGUUUACCCGAUUAAGGAUUUGGAACGGAGAAGAAUUUGAGGGGAUACAGAAGAUCCGAGGCACUUGAAAAUGACAUUAAUUUCCAAUUAUGAGAUCAAAAGGAGAAGGGCUCGGAGGGCUACAUAUGGCAAGGUAGAGGCCUAAAUUUCAGGGUGAUACAGAAGAUCCAAGGCACUUGAAAUUGACAAUUCCAAUUAUGAGAUCAAGAGGAGAAGGGCUUGGAGGCUGCAUAUGGCAAAGUAGAGGCCUAUCAAUAGUGAUUACAAAGGUGAUGAGGGGGAAUUCACAUUAUAAUGAUAUUGCAGAUGCUAGCGUUUUGACAGUGAUGCUCGUGAUUUUUGAUGGAAACGUGAGAACUGAGAAGUUUCAAGGCAUUUACAAGAGAUGGUGGAAAGGAAUAUCUAAUUGGCAGAGGGAAAAAUGAUAAGCACUUUAGCAGAAAUGGUGAAGCCAAUAGUAGUAAGAUAAUAUCGGAGAAAGGUACUUAAUCGGGAAAUAUGUUCAGCGGUUUGAUAACAUUGCGGCACUCUGAUUAUGAGGAAGAACAUGAAUCAACUCCAUCAAGAGCUAUGCACUAAAAAGAUCAUAAGACAUUCUGUUUCAGAAUGUAAUCGCGUAGUUGGCUGCUAUCACAUAACCUAAUUUUGGAGUCUAGUAUAAGACAUGUGCUAUCUAUUUGUCUUUGGUGAGAACUUUCAAUCAAACAAGUCUGUUUUGCCUCUGGUUGAGCUAAAUUUGGCUGAGAAAUAGUGGCUUCAGUGGAUUGAAAUAGAGCACAAAGGCAAAGUGAUUGGUAUCUUGUUGAGAAUUUGCUUGAAAGUUAUGGUUCUCUGAUCUUUAGGUUUAUAGCAAAAAGGGAAAGACUGGGUCUGUGCUCUCAUGAAUAACAGAAGUAAAAAUUGCACCUUGUUGGUCAUUCUGUUUUGAUCCCUGAUAUAGAAAAGAAAGAAAAGAGAGAGAGAGAAACCAAAAAGGUUAAUUUGGUAAUUUGAUGCUGUACCAAUAACCUGUUUUUAUAAGUGAGAAUCUUGAAUCAAAGAUCUCUGCUUGGCCUAGCCUCCUCCGUCAAUUAGUUGUUGAAGCAUGUCUUUGGAGACGUGUGUUUAUCGUAGCAGAGUGUUUCAUUUACGUUCACCCUUCCAGCUGCGAGGGAAGGACGAGCUUUUAAUUAUAUUAAAGCUCUUCAGGAUGAAAGCAAGCCGCUGUCAGAGGACUGAUCCAUUUACUGUUGAAAGUAGAACUCUAGCAGUUGCAACAGAAUUUUGGGUCAAUUUCUCUAGUAUUAAGCAAUCCAACAAUAGGAGUGAGUACACACAGAUGAUAGCUGGGUCUCUUUCAAGCAUGGGUGUCCCGGAAGCUGAACAUCCAACUAUCAUUGAAAACAUAUACCUGGUCCUUGACGUGGCUGUCUCCCCCGAGCUGCCUGUCAUUGUGGCCGUUUGGGACAUGACUUGCAUCAGGUGUAGUCCCGAUCUGGUUCCUGCAGUACCAAAUAUUGUUGUUCCUGCAACUAGCUCAUCAAUUGAGGAGGGUUUGGAGGAAGCAGAGGCUAUAGUUGCAGAGACUCCAUCAUGUGUUAUUUGCACCGAGGAUCUUCCACUAGGCGAUGAACAACUGAUUAAUCGUUUGCCCUGCAAACACCAUUUUCAUGUGCAUUGCAUUCUCCGGUGGCUGGAGAUCAGUGGCGUAUGUCCACUCUGCCGAUCUGAAUGCAGCCAGCAACCAUAUCCUUGACACUAGUUAAGGCUCAUGUAAGCCAAUGCGACCUCACUUAGAGGUGCUGCCAAGAGGUGCCCAUGUCUUGUUUGUUUCCUUCUUACUUGCCUUCCUAAUCAAUAAGCUUGUUUCCUUCUUACUUGCCUUCCUAAUCAAUAAGCUGCUACUAAGACAAAUAAAGCUUAAGAAUUGUCGUAAUGUAUCAUCUUUUAUUUAAUUUGUUGGGAACCAUGCGACAUUUCCUUCCCUCUAUUGUCCUGCUUUAUUUGCUGAAAUUAUAAGAAAUUUGUACUUUCAUUUGAGAUCAUACUCAAUUGCUUGUUGUCUGAUUUCCUAAGACAAACUAGCUGGAUUCAGUCAUGAUCCUUUGCUGUUUACCUUUAAACCAAAUGGCCAGAUCACUAAGACUUCUAAAAGCAAGUCAUCUUCUGUUCUUUUGUUCACUUUACUGUUCAUAUUUGGUCAUGAGAUUACAUAUCAUAUGGUCCAAAUUUGAUAUCUAAUGCCUUCCCGUCAUAAGUGGCAAGCCCACAGCCUCCCUUUCAUGGUUUCUUCUAUGUAUAUAUAGGUCUGGUUAUAUGAGAAUGUAAUAGUCUAGGUUUCACUUGUCUUAAUUUAAGUGAGUGACUUCUCUCAAAACAGGUUCUACUUUGUGUUGUCUUCUAAUUCCCCGUGAUGUGAGUAUGCUUCGGAUAUUAAUUAGUUAGUGACUAAUGUCAAACUUGAAAUAUAAUCAAUAGCUAGCUAGCAGUUGGGGUUGGCUAGCCAAAAUGGUGAGAGUGUGGGAAAAUUGAUUAGGAUUAGAAAUGGCAUGGGAACAAAGUUUUCUCUGUCUAACAUUCAAAAUGAUCCUCAUUUGGUAUGUGGCUGGGCUGGAAACUCAGUGCCAAUAAGACUAAUCAUAAGUCCAAAUUUCACUUGUAAGGAUCUUCUUUUGCUACAUAGAAAGUCCAUAAUUAUGUGUUCGAGUUGUGGGUCAUCACUUUCAAAUAGGGAUGUAGAAAUAUGAGUUUCAAUUUCUAUAAAACAUGAUAAGCCUUUGUGCAUGCCUGUAGUAAAUCCCUGAUCCUAUCUGUAAAUAAAUCAUUACAUUGCUGUUCCCCUUUAGUCAAGAUAUUAUCUUUACACGACUGAUGAAGAUUUGAUAUCUAAUGCUUUUCCGUCCUAAGCAGCUAGCCAGCUGCUGCAUUUGUAGUUUCUUCUAUAUAUGAGAAUGUAAGUACGGAUAUCUGCCAAUGUCCGUUUGGGUUCUAGUAGUCUGAAAUAAGUGAAUGACUUUGUAAUAAUGAAACAUGUUCUACUUUGUUUGAUUAUGUCUUGGAUAUUAAUCACUUAUAGACUACUGUCAAUACUGAAUUAAUCAAUAGUAGUUAGCACUUUGGGUAUUUCUUCCUGCACACAAACAUAGCAAUUUAAAAGCUAAAAACUUCACAAACAGUAAAUUGCUGAUUUGUGAUCGCAAUUCAUCGUCACUCACCAAUAUGCGAUACCUGACAUGCAGACAAAGAGCCUCGAGUCGAGGACAUGAGGCAAAUUGGGCUAGUACUCAAGGUAAUGAUUCUUUUAGACCUUCACAAAGAAAAAGCCUUGCUUAUCUUGCAGCUUUGAUGCAAGAAAUCUUCACAAUCUUUCGAUCAUAUUCUGAGGUAAGAUUAGCAGCGCAAAUGUCUGUCUUUUUUCUAAUGUGUUACACCAGGUAAGGAGUCAUAUGUCUUUGUUUUCUGCGUUAUGAAAUUCUACUCACAUAUUUAGUGAGUGUAUAAACAAGUCAAACACGGGUGGAUACCUUGCAUCCGGUGAGGAGUUUGCUCAUCACUGUAGGCGGAUAUCUUGUAUCCGGUGUUUGACUGGACGUGUGCAUUGAUGUCUGUUGGCAUGAGGCUAGGGUUGAAGUACAUUGAUAUCAUACUCUGAUGUCCAGCAGAGUUUACCUAUCUGCAAAACGAUAGUUUUUGAAUGCAGUGCAAAUGGACCAUCAUUUAGAGAGGGUUAUGACUAUGCUAGCACAACAGGGAUGUGAGAGAAAGGGAAAUACAUGAGAAAAUUGUGUGAUUCUGUGCAUAUUUAUUUGAAUUUUCUAAUUGAUUGUUUUUCAUUUGUUUUGGUUUUGACAGCAAAAAGGAGUUGUGCAGGAAAAAGAGUAGCAUUUGUGGGCUUUACAGCCUUAAGUAAUAUACAAGCUCAAAUGGAGUGGGCUUUGUGAUACGGAAACAGUGUAAUUAAUCACACACUAGGGCCAUAUGAAAUGUCAAGUAUAUUGUUUGGUUACGGGAUGAGAUCAAUUUUUAUCAAAUUGAUGAUGGUUGUCACUGCUAACUUAACGUUAUAAAUAAUGAGUUUUUUUUAUCUACAAUUGCUGCUAAUCGUGGCUUUCCAUUCUUAUUUGUAUAUUGGUGAAAUGUGAUGCUGAUCUUGAAUUCCUGAGAUGCUUUUCUGAGUUUGUUAGGAAGGGAAGAAAGAAGGCAUCUGCAACUAUUGUUUGUUUCGACACUUAUAAAUGGUAUUCUAGAUUCAUGUUCAUUGAAAAUAUUAAUUCAUCUCAUUAGAUUUGUUUCAGAAUAUCCACAGCUUGAUAAAUGUGAGAAAAACUUUGUAGGACAACCAACUCUCGAUGCUUUCCUACAAAGG